UUGCUCUGGUGAUGAAAUGCACUUAGUUAUAACUUCUAACUUCAUGACUAGAUCUGCUGUUUAAUUGUUUACAGGAGGCUGAAGAAUGCUGAGGUAACUUAGCUUAACAGAUAAGCUAGUAACAUUGUAAAAACAGUCUUUCUUGUUUUUUCUUUUUUUUCCAGAUGUCUCUUCAUCUGUAAGUAGCUGUAUCUAAUGCAGGGAUGGAUGUGUGUGCCUGUGCCUGCAGAUGUAUCUGUUAUGUGCACACACAUACAGAUUUGAGAAGCUAUAUAGCAGAGUUGUUUGCAUAAUGAGUUUCAUUUCUCUUCACAGGUCAGCACCUUUAGCGAACCUUGGAAAAACUAUUGUGUGAGCAGUCAGCACACCAAGGCAGCAGCACCCGUUGAGUUCCACACUGCAUUCAGUGAACUGAUUGUCAGGAUGACAGAAUCAUCACUUAACUGGAGCCAGGAGAGCCAUGGACCACCUGUAUGAGCCUUUACUCCUCCCCUUCUGCUCUGGCAAGUUCCCAGAAACAUGUUCACCAUUCCCUCUGAGUGAACCUAUGGGAAUGAAUUAAAAAUGAGCAAAGACCUCUGGAUUGAAAACAAAGGAGAAGAGAAAUAACAUUCAAGUUAAUAAAACAAAGUUUCUUGCUGAUAUGUAAGUGAAAUUACUAUUUGUGUGAAAAGAAACAACGACUCAGUGUGUUUGUGGGAGUACCAAAAUCUGUCUGAAAACAUUAGUCAAAGCAUUCUUUGUGAAUAAAGAUUGAAAGUGUGAUCACCCACUUAGCUAUUUCAGAGGGAUGACUGCAAGAUUCAUCUUAAUAAUUUUCAGUAAUUUCCAUAUCAACACAUCAAUAGAAGACCAUAAAUUUUAAUUCCUCAUUACUAUCUCAUUGGUCCAUCCUGGAGACUUGUUCCUUUUCAAGGAAAAAAAUUUAAAAUGUUACUCUAACAUUGUAUGUUUGACUGGCAAAUUAAGGUAUCUUGUCCUGCUUGUGUUUUCUUUUCAUAAAUCGGAGACAGCAAAUAUGAUGUCUGCAUCUGUCAGUGAAUAUACAAGAAAAUGGUAAAACUGGUCUCUGAAAGUACUCUUCUGGUCAAGGACAUUUUGCUUGCCUGUUACUUAUGAGCUUCUUGCACACUUUACAAUUGAUACCUGUUCCUUGAGCAGGACAGUCCUGUUUCUCUGAGCUAUCUUGUGGGAAACCAAAAGGCAAACAAGGAGGCACUGAAGAUCCUAGCCCAGAGCAACGGUAGCUUUUGAAAAUCACAUUUUCCCCAUUAUCACUGCAAUAUAUGGCAGAUAACCAAGGAUUAGCUCUCUUCUGAAGCACCCAGAUUUUACUCAGAAGCAAUAGGAUUCAUCAUUCAUUCCCAUAUAGCUCAGUUUCCACUCCUGGAUUCUCCUCUUCUGACUAUAAUAAAGAUUACACAACUACUUUGUUAUUCAACCUAUGGAAAAACCCUGUCAAUGCCUCUUCUGCUUGGUAGCUGAGCCUCCCAGGACAGCUGCAUGUCUUAAAUCUCUCCUGCUGCAGUUUUGAACCCCUAUGUUGAGGGCACAGCUGAAAAAUCAGAAGAGAUGCUGAUGGCACUCCAAAGGCUGCAAAAAGCUUGUACUUGAUACUGCUGCACAAAGGGCAAAAAUGUGAAGGGAAGUGGAAACAUUUAACCUGAGGACAGGAAAGCUCACGAGAAUCUCAGAAAAAAGGAGACAAAGAUGUAAUUUCCAAAACAAUACCCGGAGAUCAAAGGAGGCUGAUGCGCUUUCAAACACUGUUUGUGCUGGAUCUGCAAGGAAAGGUUAAAGAAUGUGCUGUGAAAAAUGCAGAGUAUGGUAGAGAAGCAACGGACCCUGAAGAUUUUUUUUUGUCUUUUCCUUGCCAUUGCCCUCUCCACUACUGAUUUGGCCACACUGAGAGAAAUGUCACCGUUUGCUUUAAAUUGCCUUUAAAUUGAGCAGAGAUGAAACAGUUCUACCCUGUGAUAUAAUCAUGUGCCAUGGAAGCUCUCCUUACUCAUUGUCUGAGCUGCAUUGUUUUCUCCUUUAUUGCUAGACCUAGUUCAGUGCACACUUCCCCUCUCAGCUCUGUUCAUCAUAUCCUGAUUGUUUUUAUUAAGUUCGAUUUGUGUCAAAGCUAAUAAAUAACUAGAAAUAUAAAAA